CCUACGGGUGGCAGCAGUCGAGAAUCAUUCACAAUGGGGGAAACCCUGAUGGUGCGACGCCGCGUGGGGGAAUGAAGGUCUUCGGAUUGUAAACCCCUGUCAUGUGGGAGCAAAUUAAAAAGAUAGUACCACAAGAGGAAGAGACGGCUAACUCUGUGCCAGCAGCCGCGGUAAUACAGAGGUCUCAAGCGUUGUUCGGAAUCACUGGGCGUAAGGCGUGCGUAGGCUGUUUCGUAAGUCGUGUGUGAAAGGCGCGGGCUCAACCCGCGGACGGCACAUGAUACUGCGAGACUAGAGUAAUGGAGGGUGAACCGGAAUUCUCGGUGUAGCAGUGAAAUGCGUAGAUAUCGAGAGGAACACUCGUGGCGAAGGCGGGUUCCUGGACAUUAACUGACGCUGAGGCACGAAGGCCAGGGGAGCGAAAGGGAUUAGAUACCCCAGUAGUC
rnacentral:rRNA from 1 species